AGUGAACGCUGGCGGUAGGCCUAACACAUGCAAGUCGAACGGCAGCACAGUAAGAGCUUGCUCUUACGGGUGGCGAGUGGCGGACGGGUGAGGAAUACAUCGGAAUCUACUUUUUCGUGGGGGAUAACGUAGGGAAACUUACGCUAAUACCGCAUACGACCUACGGGUGAAAGCAGGGGAUCUUCGGACCUUGCGCGAUUGAAUGAGCCGAUGUCGGAUUAGCUAGUUGGCGGGGUAAAGGCCCACCAAGGCGACGAUCCGUAGCUGGUCUGAGAGGAUGAUCAGCCACACUGGAACUGAGACACGGUCCAGACACUGACGGGAGGCAGAAGUGGGGAAUAUUGGAAAAUGGGCGCAAGCCUGAUCCAGCCAUACAGCGUGGGUGAAGAAGGCCUGCGGGUUGUAAAGCCCUUUUGUUGGGAAAGAAAAGCAGCAGGUUAAUACCCCGCUGUUCUGACGGGACCCAAAGAAGAAGCACCGGCUAACUUCGU
rnacentral:rRNA from 1 species